AUUGAACGCUGGCGGAAUGCUUUACACAUGCAAGUCGAACGGCAGCACGGGGGCAGCCCUGGUGGCGAGUGGCGAACGGGUGAGUAAUACAUCGGAACGUGCCCGGUCGUGGGGGAUAACGUAGCGAAAGUUACGCUAAUACCGCAUACGAUCUGAGGAUGAAAGCGGGGGACCUUCGGGCCUCGCGCGAUCGGAGCGGCCGAUGUCAGAUUAGGUAGUUGGUGGGGUAAAGGCCUACCAAGCCGACGAUCUGUAGCUGGUCUGAGAGGACGACCAGCCACACUGGGACUGAGACACGGCCCAGACCCCUACGGGAGGCAGCAGUGGGGAAUUUUGGACAAUGGGCGCAAGCCUGACCCAGCCAUUCCGCGUGCAGGACGAAGGCCUCGGGUUGUAAACUGCUUUUGUACGGAACGAAAAGGCUCUGGCUAAUACCUGGGGCUCAUGACGGUACCGUAAGAAUAAGCACCGGCUAACUACGUG
rnacentral:rRNA from 1 species